UAACUUCCAAGAAUGAAGCCGUGGACGUUCACAGUCAAGAUCUAAGCAAACACACAAAUGUGAACAACAGGGAAAGAACCCAUUGACCUACCAAGACAGGCUGCCAACAGAAUUUUGAAGGCUUGCCAAGAUGCUUUUAUGGAGGUAGAGUGAAUGAGAUUCCGUAAGUGCAAAAUAAUCCUUUUAAGACUACCCAGAAAGUAAUAUAAGUGAACUAGUUAUAUAAGAUUCAGUGAGGACUACCAAAACAUUGGGAAGAAAUGUGGAUUUU
rnacentral:lncRNA from 1 species